rnacentral:rRNA from 1 species
GUGGGGAAUCUUAGACAAUGGGGGCAACCCUGAUCUAGCCAUGCCGCGUGAGUGAUGAAGGCCUUAGGGUCGUAAAGCUCUUUCGCUGGGGAAGAUAAUGACGGUACCCAGUAAAGAAACCCCGGCUAACUCCGUGCCAGCAGCCGCGGUAAUACGGAGGGGGUUAGCGUUGUUCGGAAUUACUGGGCGUAAAGCGCGCGUAGGCGGAUUGGAAAGUUGGGGGUGAAAUCCCGGGGCUGAACCCUGGAAUGGCCUUCAAAACUCCCAGUCUUGAGGUCGAGAGAGGUGAGUGGAAUUCCGAGUGUAGAGGUGAAAUUCGUAGAUAUUCGGAGGAACACCAGUGGCGAAGGCGGCUCACUGGCUCGAUACUGACGCUGAGGUGCGAAAGCGUGGGGAGCAAACAGGAUUAGAUACCCCAGUAGUCC